GAUGAACGCUAGCGGCAGGCCUAAUACAUGCAAGUCGAACGGUGUCUUCGGACAUAGUGGCGCACGGGUGCGUAACACGUAUGCAACCUACCUUACAUUGGGGGAUAGCCUUUCGAAAGGGAGAUUAAUACCGCAUAAGACAGUAGCUGGGCAUCCAGCAGCUGUUAAAGAUUUAUCGAUGUAAGCUGGGCAUGCGUCCAAUUAGCUAGUUGGUGAGGUAAUGGCUCACCAAGGCUAUGAUUGGUAGGGGAACUGAGAGGUCAAUCCCCCACACUGGCACUGAGAUACGGGCCAGACUCCUACGGGAGGCAGCAGUAGGGAAUAUUGGGCAAUGGACGCAAGUCUGACCCAGCCAUGCCGCGUGCAGGAUGAAGGCGUUAUGCGUUGUAAACUGCUUUUAUACAGGAAGAAACGACUCUUGCGAGAGGCAUUGACGGUACUGUAUGAAUAAGCACCGGCUAACUCCGUGCCAGCAGCCGCGGUAAUACGGAGGGUGCAAGCGUUGUCCGGAUUUAUUGGGUUUAAAGGGUGCGCAGGUGGUUUAUUAAGUCAGUGGUGAAAGACGGUCGCUCAACGAUUGCAGUGCCAUUGAAACUGGUAGACUUGAGUAAAGUAGAGGUGGGCGGAAUUGAUAGUGUAGCGGUGAAAUGCAUAGAUAUUAUCAAGAACUCCAAUUGCGUAGGCAGCUCACUUGGCUUUUACUGACACUCAUGCACGAAAGUGUGGGUAUCAAACAGGAUUAGAUACCCUGGUAGUCCACACUGUAAACGAUGAUAACUAGGUGUCGGCCGAAUCUGGUCGGUGCCACAGCGAAAGCGUUAAGUUAUCCACCUGGGGAGUACGCCGGCAACGGUG
rnacentral:rRNA from 1 species